rnacentral:misc_RNA from 1 species
AAGACUGUCGCUGGCUAGAUUCAUUUCUGGCAUGUGCACGUCCUUGCUUUUUUCGUCGACCUUUCUCUUUCUUUCUUUCACACCUGUGCACCCGUUGUAGGUCCUCGAAAGAGGAUCUAUGUUCUCUAUCACACCCGAUCGUCGUAUGUCCAUAGAAUGUAACGAAUAAAAUACAACUUUCAGCAACGGAUCUCUUGGCUCUCGCAUCGAUGAAGAACGCAGCGAAUUGCGAUAAGUAAUGUGAAUUGCAGAUUUUCAGUGAAUCAUCGAAUCUUUGAACGCACCUUGCGCUCCUUGGUAUUCCGAGGAGCAUGCCUGUUUGAGUGUCAUUGAAUUCUCAACCAUGUCUCGAUCGACUUC